rfam:Triticum aestivum genome assembly, contig: Triticum_aestivum_CS42_TGACv1_scaffold_272103_3DS
UAUAUACUCCCUCCGUCCCAAAGUACUUGUCGGAUAAACUGAUAAAAAUGGAUGUAUCUAGAACUAAAAUAUGUCUAGAUACAUCCAUUCCUCCGACGACUAUUUCCGGACGGAGGGAGUACAUU